rnacentral:rRNA from 1 species
CGUAGGUGGCGCGGUAAGUCGGGUGUGAAAUUUCGGAGCUUAACUCCGAAACUGCAUUCGAUACUGCCGUGCUUGAGGACUGGAGAGGAGACUGGAAUUUACGGUGUAGCAGUGAAAUGCGUAGAGAUCGUAAGGAAGACCAGUGGCGAAGGCGGGUCUCUGGACAGUUCCUGACACUGAGGCACGAAGGCCAGGGGAGCAAACG